CUGCCCAGGGAGGUUUGGAGUGCCCAGCCCUGGAGGGAUUUAAAAACCCUGUGCAUGUGGCACUUGGGGAACAUGGGUUAGUGGUGACCUUGGCAGUGCUGGGUUGACAGUUGGACUCCAUGGUCUUAGAGGGCUUUUCCAACCUGAUUGAUUUUGUGAUUCCAUGAUUCUGUGAGGCAGAGGAACAGUCUGAGUGGUUACACUGCAGCCAGGCACCCCAAGCUCUCCUGCAUGCUCCCCUUCCCACAGGCAGCUCUGCCUCUGGUGAGAGCAGCCACUGAUUAGUCCUGCCAGAAACCAUACUUCCCUGGUUCAGGCACAGAAAAAAACAACAGAUAACAGGAGAGAGAAAGCCAGAGAGAGGGAAGAAGGCAGGAGCAAGUGGGACUGCUGUUGCUGAUGUAUUAUUUAUAUAGCAGGAAAUUAGACUCUGAGGACUCAAGUAUUCUUCAAAUAAGCUUCCUAAUUCUGUCAAUUAAGAAUGCACAGGCUGCUGGGGCUCUAGCUUGGGAUGAGCUGCAGAGGAGUGAAAGCUGCCCCUGGUCAUUGCUCUGAUGUGCUGCUACAGAUAUUUCAGCUGGAGGAAAAAUAUCUUAGUCCUAAAAUCAAACGUGUGAGAUGCUGGGAGGCUUAUAUAGAGCAGCUCUGGCUGAUUCCAGUGGGACAAAUAACUUCCCUGUGCUCUGACAGGGGAAUACUGAAAUGCUGAA